CAGCAGCCGCGGGAAUACGUAGGUGGCAAGCGUUGUCCGGAAUUAUUGGGCGUAAAGGGCUCGCAGGCGGUUUCUUAAGUCUGAUGUGAAAGCCCCCGGCUCAACCGGGGAGGGUCAUUGGAAACUGGGAAACUUGAGUGCAGAAGAGGAGAGUGGAAUUCCACGUGUAGCGGUGAAAUGCGUAGAGAUGUGGAGGAACACCAGUGGCGAAGGCGACUCUCUGGUCUGUAACUGACGCUGAGGAGCGAAAGCGUGGGGAGCGAACAGGAUUAGAGACCCGCGUAGUCCCUGUCUCUUAUAC
rnacentral:rRNA from 1 species